GUUUAUUACUCAGAAGAACUUCGAAGAGACACGCAACUGUCAUCGCAUCUGUUCCGUCUGUGCAGUCCGUGUUUAUUUAAGUGACUUAAAUGAUAGAGCCAGGUCAUGAACGAACACGACAGGCAAGCGGGCGGUAAGAUUACUAAUAGGAGCAAAGAAGAUUUGAGGAUUAGCACCGACCUCGAAACUGGAUUUUGUGCGCAAAAGGUUGCUUGUGCACUUCACUGUAAUGUUGCUUAUUGUCUGUUUGACUAGUAUUGUGGCUGAAAUCAAAUCUGUGGUGUGCUGAUAUCAUUGUCUGAUUUGAAAUAGGACAUAUGUGCAAUGUGCUUGGGUAUGUUAAAGUCUUAUCUCAGUUUAUUUGCUUUAAUGUAAUUAUCGAUUUAUGUAUUUGUUGAUUGCUUAAUCAAAACAAAUCUGUCUCUAUUGAAAAUAUUUUAAAAAGAGCAUUCUGACGCAAUAAUACACCUGACCUUAUCCUCACUCGAUCAUGCUUAAACCCCAAAAUGCUUUUUGAAAGGGUUACAUUUGAAAUGUAUUCCACUACAGAUUACAGAAAACAUGCUGUAAAAUGUCAUUUGUAACAUAUUCCGUUAGAUUACACAAGGUCAGUAACGUAUUCUAAAUACUUUGGAUUACUUCUUCAGCACUGAUAGAUUUUUUCACUUGUUUUGACUAUAAAAACUCUACCAGUACAUUAAGACAAAAUACACAUGUUAAAAAUACAUUCUCUGAAAAACCUAAAUAUCUUAUGCAGUGUUGUUUCUAAAACAAGAUACAUCAAAUUGAUCUUGUUUUAAGGAUUUUUUUAUAUUUUUACAGGAAAACAAUACAAACAUUAUUAUCAAGAAUAAGAUUUUUGCCCUAAUAUCAAAGGUCUUACUAGAAAAAAAGAAAUUAUGAUCUAACGUGAAUUUUCUUGAUAAAAAAAAAUAUGAUUGUGCCUGGUAACAUGUGCAUGCAAAAUGGCUAGAAAUAGCAUUUUAGCUUAGGGUAAAGCUGACAAUUUACACAAGGAUUAUUUCUAUUUCUUCUGCUCCAGACUUACUUUAAACGUACUUCUCUGUCUGCUCGUAUGAAUGUAACACAUCAUAAGAAAGUGUUUCACUGCUGUUCAAAUGCACUUUGGAUCGCAUCAUUUAUAUGUAUAAAUGUUUUCCAUCUGAAAGGGCUAAAUAUGAAAUGAAACAAAUGUCAGUAAAAUGCAAAGUAAUCUCUUCAGUAAUCAAAAUACUUUUUGAAUGUAACUAUUCUAAUUACCAAUGAUUUAAACUGUAACUGUAGUGGAAUACAGUUACUUAUAUUUUGUAUUUUAAAUACGUAAUCCUGUUACAUGUAUUCCGUUACUCCCCAACCCUGUUUAUAAAUGAAGAGGUCUUUUGAUCUGCCACUCCAGGUAUUCCUCAAUUAAGGUGUCUUUGGCCAUGUGAACUUGCUUUUUAAACAUUUAGUUUAUUUUAUAUAUAUUAUAUAUAUAAAGAGAAUUUUCAUUACUUUAUGUGGGUCGUAUAUGACCCAUGUGUUUACUGUGGUGUUCAAUGCAUUUUUGCAAUUAAUUAAUCAAUUACACAAUUGUCCCGUUUACACAGUUUUUUUUCCCAGAAAAUUACCUUCAGUUUCCAGUUCAGAGGUCAUGUGUGAACACAACCCUUUGGAAAAUACUGGUAAAAUUUGCUCUGCCAAUUUAUAAACCUAUACAUUUCCUGAAUGAUGGUGUGUGUGAACAGCUCAUUUAAUAAAUUUACCAGUAAAUGCAACCCAACGAUGUUCCUGUAAUUUACCUGGUUACUUGUGUGAAUGGGGCUACUGAUUGUUUUCAGUUUCCAUUUGUUAUGUAAUUAAACAUGUUUCAUAUGUUUCAUAUGUGUCAUAUGCAAUAGAAAGUUAUCAUUCAGCUGAUGCUUUUAUCCAAAGUGCAUGACAAUAUGACUUUUACAGGGACAGUCCUCAUAGAGCAACCUGAGGUUAUGCCCAGUUCAUGGCAAGGGCACAAUGGUCAGCUCCUGGACCACUCAGCAGUGUGUUUGAAUCUGCAAAUUUCUUUUCACAGUACCCUUCACCACUUUGAAGAUUUAUGUAGGCUAUUUUACCACCAAACAUGUUUUCCCAUUUAACACCAUCACCCAAUACUCUUCAUUUCUAAUGUGUCUGAAAGUCUUCUGAAUUGAAUAAAUAUAUAUCAACCAUUUAAAAUGUAAACUAUAAAUACAAUUAUAAUUUACUUGGAAAAAAAAAAAAAGUAGUCUUAAAACUUAUAAGCAUCUAGAUUUCAAAUGCAUUGAAGGGGGAUAAGGUUGCAUAUUCUAUGGUUCAUUUCCAUCAGUGCAGUGUCAUGUCAUCUUGUCAGCAUCAGUUGUAGAUUGCAGUUGCAUUUAACUGCAAGCCAGUCCACUGGUCUGUAUAAUACGGGCAUUAAAAUUAAAGUACUUAAUAUAUAGGCCUAUAGCCCUGUAUCCUGUUUAUGCUUUAUAUUAGUAAGUAUUUAUAUCUAAGUAUUUCAGCAUGUAUUGAAUGUACUAAUCUCGCUGUUAUCUGAUCAUAUGUGGUCCGACACUAGAUAUCAUGUGAUGUUGAGUCUCACUGAUCCCAGUGUCAAUUUGGACAGUUUGAGGUUUGUUGAAAAACAAUUCUCACAAACACCAGCCAGGUGAAGUGAACGCUGGACAUUUUGUAUUUUCAUCAUGGCAGCUGGCACAAUGUUUCUUUUGUAUGUCUUUGCUUUAGAAGCUGUUUACAGUUAUUUACAGCAGCUUCCCGGGUUAAUGGAGGUGCCGAUCGGUAGCGACAUUAAUCUCACCUGCCACAUAUCGGACUUGUUGAUAUCUUGUGACCGCAUUUCUUGGUUUAAAGUAUCCAAAAGUACAAGAGAGAUGAAAGCAAUAACCGUUGUGAGGGCUCAUCAAAGCAACCCAACUGGGUCGCAACCCAACAUUCAUAAGAGCCAACUGUGCACUGGCAUCAUCCCUAAUGCCACCCUGAAGGACUCCGGCGCUUACUAUUGCUCUGUAUAUUACGGUGUUUUAUCUUAUGUUGGCAAUGGCACCAUCGUUGUUAUCAUGGAUCCCAGUACCAAACCCUCCUUAACACUGUACAUCUCAGAGGACAACACCGGAGCCAUUUCAAACGAGAAAUACCCAUCCAUCAUCCCUCUCCAGUGUCUGGUGAUGGGGGUAGUUCACUCUCAAAUCCGCGUGGUAUGGAUGAUAGAUCAGAAAGAGCGCACUGAAUGGACGGAGUCGAGCUGGAUAGACAACAGUGAUUCUUCAACACCAUACAUACGAGCUCAUGCCUCUGUUUCAGCUGAGGAAUGUACAAAGGGUUUUGAAUUUAAGUGCAUCGUCACAUUUAAUGGAAAUACAAUCUCUAAAAGUCUGCAAAUUAGAGGCUCAAUUUCAGCAUGCGCAUUGUUGCUGUACGCGGGCUCUGGAGCAGCUUUACUUAUCAUUGCUGUAGCUGUGAUCGUAUUCGCGUACUCACGCCGAGGUCUGGCAGCAGGUGAACACACAGGCAUCCAUGCGGAAGUGAUAUAUGCAGAUUUGGAACCUAUCAGAUUUCUGCAACACAGAACCGCAACAAUUCAGCCAAAAUUAGAUGAAAGCCUACAAAUGUAAACAUUCAGUUUUCACUUGAUUUAGGCAAUGACUUGUAUGUACUGUACAGGAAUUUUUGAUGGAGAGUAAAAUCAGUUGUAUUUCUUUUUUUGUUUUGGGUGUUAAAAAAAAAAAAGAUAGAAUAAAAAAAAUAGUGCAAAAGAAAAGAUUAUUCAGAUGUCCUUUUUUGUCCGGAAGCAAAAUAAGGCCGUGCAGCGCCAUUGGAUGUACAGUUGCUAUGUAAAGCAGUAAGUAAAUUGGUAGCCUGAGGGAUUCAGAGGGAAUGAACUGGAAAAUUCACAGGCCUUUGCAGAGAAACAAAAAGCUGUAUAAUAAAAUCUAAUAAUCCUUAAAGGAUCUGUUAGCGAUUUUAACCGUUCUACUUCCACAAACUGAGCCACUGAAUUAGCCACGCCCCCUCUUUCCAAAACCCUGCACUCCAAAGGUACCAUAUGAACUUUAUUGAGACCGACAUCAUGCAGAAACGGUUGUUAAAAACAACAGCAGCAAAAUAGCACCCUCAACUGGCAACUGUUAUGAACAGCAUGGCAGAAAAAUGGCAUUAAGCCUCAAUAGUUUGCCUUAAUUACAACACUAUGAGAACCCGCAAAAUCAUUGACAGGUCGAAAACCUCAUUGCUCGUGGAUGGCGUAUACAUUUUUAUUUGCUGUUUACAGAGUCUAGAGCUGUCACAGAGACAGAUCAAAACAAGUGGCAGCCUCCAACUUCACUUGCCAAAAAGAGCAACUGACAAGAGGAACACCUGCUGAGUAUUGACCUUUCUGGUGAAAUCGGGAACAGUAGGUUGACAUUUCUUUGGCUAAAAUCAGUCUGUGCUUACCGAAAUACAAAACACUGCCUCCAGUGGACAAAACUGUAAGUAUUGUUGGGUGUAUGAGCAAGUGUGAGCUCCUUUUACCGGGUGUAAUGUCCACGGAGGGGUGCCAAAAGCAAGUUGUGAAGCAAGUUGUUUUCAGCUGUACAGACUGUAAUACAGUGAAGAGGAAUGCAUAUUUUAUAAACUGCACUCCCCAACCCAAAACUCAAACCUAAACCUAACUAUCAGUGGAGUAAAAAUGUAAUGAACUCAGGUCUCCCACACUGCUGAUACAACACGCUUUCGGUUGUGCCACUGGGGGAAAGUAAACAUGCUAGAGAUGAUGCAAAAAUGUAAGUUAGGAGAUGGCGCUCGUCAGUCGGCAUAAUGUGUUCGAUCCAAGGGUACCAGAAAUCUCGGACAUAACAUGCCGACUUCCCCUGUGAUCAUGUUGCAAUGAUAAAAACAGUAUUAAAUGUGCAACACAGAGAAAGCCACACCAACCAAUUUAUAGUAAAAGCAAUAGUGAUUUUGUUUGUGGGUUAUAUGCUGAAAUUUUCUGGAUGAACCUGUGGAUAUCAACUACCCAUUAUUUUGGAGCUCCUGUCUGGGUAUAUUAUUUAACACAAUAACACAACAUCCUUAUGGCCUCUGAGUCCAUCAGGUUUCAAGUUCAUAAGGCCUGUGGGUCAGUCUCACAUCACUGGAUUUUAAUGUGUUUUCAGUAUUUAUUUUAGGUUUGCAUUGUUGAUUUCCAAGAUCAUAACUUCCAAGGAAGCGGGCACCUGUGGGGGGGUGCUCAUUUGAGCUAUUUUAGUGUGCAGAUGUUUUAUCUGUCCCAUUUAUUGUAUUCAUUGGUGUUUAUUUUAACUUUCAUUUUUUAACUCUUGUUCUUAGUCAUUAUUUAUCCUCAUAAAUUGAAUGAUAAGGCAAAAGUUUAUUUUAUAUAAAUGGUAUGUUCCAAAUCAUAUAGGUGGGAAAAAUUGUGUGCAUAUGAGCCUGCUGCCUCUAGAGGCACUAGACUAGUUGACGGAUUAUGUUAGCGCUGCUUGAGCACGAUAUACUCUGUUGUUGAGGGAGGUGAGUGGGUACUGCUUUUAGUACCCAAAAAUCUGUCUAGCUUUUAGCUUUUAAUGACCUUGGUUUUAUGUACUCUUUAACACUGUUUUCAUGUCCACAUUUUGCACCUCCGUCAAUAAAUAUCAUCUUUCGGAUGACACUCCUUCUUCACAUGGUGUGAUUCUCCUUGCAGCUGCCUUGGUCCCUGUCAAGUGAUUUCUUGGCGUGAUGGGCAUUUUGCAAGCAUCCCUGAGUAACCAUAAUUUGCACUGUAAAUUUAUUUCCCUCUCUCUCUCUCUCUCUCUCUCUCUCUCUCUCUCUCUCUCUCUCUCUCUCUCUCUCUCUAUAUGUAUAUUUACAUUUAACUUAUGCAAUUAAACUUCAUGUUAUUGCACCCCUGCUAGAUUUUUGUUGUUGUUGUUGUUGUUGUUGUUGCUUUUACUGCUGUCGGUGGUGCCUUUUUCAUGUGAUAUCAAAUCAUUUCAAUUUAUAUUUCUAUUUAGGAAAACAAUUUCACAAUACACAGAAAACAACAUAACAGUACACAAAUAAAACAAAUAACCAUUCAUUCUUAUGUAGGCUAUAUGGUAAUACAAGAUAAUGUGUUAAUGUGAACAUUACUACAAUUUUCAUAGUAGCCUAAUAAAAGGAACAUUAAUGACACCUACUAAUUUAAAUAUAUAUUUAACAUCAAGCUAC